GGGCCUGUAGCUCAACGGUCAGAGCUGGGCGCUCAUAACGCUUAGGUUGGGGGUUCGAUUCCCUCCGGGCCUACCA
rnacentral:tRNA from 1 species